rnacentral:rRNA from 1 species
UACGAAGGGGGCUAGCGUUGCUCGGAAUUACUGGGCGUAAAGAGCGCGCAGGCGGCUGGUCAAGUCCGAUGUGAAAUCUCCCGGCUUAACUGGGAAACUGCAUCGGAAACUGAUCGGCUUGAAGGUGGGAGAGGGUAGUGGAAUUCCCGGUGUAGUGGUGAAAUGCGUAGAUAUCGGGAGGAACACCAGUGGCGAAGGCGACUACCUGGCCUGUUCUUGACGCUGAGGCGCGAAAGCUAGGGGAGCAAACGGG